rnacentral:rRNA from 1 species
UACAGAGGUCUCAAGCGUUGUUCGGAUUCAUUGGGCGUAAAGGGUGCGUAGGUGGCGCCGUAAGUCGGGUGUGAAAUUUCGGAGCUUAACUCCGAAACUGCAUUCGAUACUGCCGUGCUUGAGGACUGGAGAGGAGACUGGAAUUUACGGUGUAGCAGUGAAAUGCGUAGAUAUCGUAAGGAAGACCAGUGGCGAAGGCGGGUCUCUGGACAGUUCCUGACACUGAGGCACGAAGGCCAGGGGAGCAAACGGG